rnacentral:rRNA from 1 species
AUGCUCCCGGAUAGGAAGGAGUGGAAUGUUGAUCUCAUUAAGCAAAUCUUUCAUGACUUCGAUGCGGAAGAGAUCUGCAAAAUCCGCAUUCCAAGCGCCGAUGUGGAGGACUGUAUUGCUUGGCACUGCGAGCGGAACGGUGUGUUUUCAGUAAAAAGUGCUUAUAAGCUUGCCGCAUCACUCAAAGGCCAAGCUGUUCCUGCACCAUCUAGCUCAUCCGGGACACCGCAAGAUAGGAGCAUCUGGGACCUCAUCUGGAAGGCAAGGGUUCCACCUAAAGUAAGAAUAUUUGGGUGGAGGAUCGCAACGAACACACUAGCAACAAAAAAGAACAAGUACAGAAGAUCGUUGGAGUUGGAUAAUACUUGCAAUCUAUGUGGAUGUAGAGAGGAAGAUGAAUUUCAUGCAGUCAUUGAGUGUACAAAGAGCAGAGCGCUUAGGGAUGCCCUGAGGAAAGAUUGGGACAUGGCACCGGAAGUUUGUUUCCGGUGUACCGGUCCUGGUUGGCUGCAACUUCUGCUAAGCACUGUACAUGAGGCCACACGAACGAGGAUUCUACUGCUUCUAUGGAGGUGCUGGUUUAUGAGGGAUAACUGUGUCCAUGGUAACGGGAAAGAAACAAUCAGACAAUCGGUCUCCUUCCUGUUAAAAUAUGAGGAAGAAUUGCAACAAGCUGCGCUAAAUCCCAUCUCUGAUUCAGAGAAGUCGCCUGCCAUGCUGACGGAGACACCCAUCCGGGAGGCAACCCAGGAACUCAGGAGGUGGGCUGCACCCGAGCGGGGAAUCGCAAAGAUCAACUCUGAUGCGGCCUUCCUCCCGGACAGUGGGCAAAGCUGGACUGGUGCUGUUGCUAGGGAGUAG